rnacentral:lncRNA from 10 species
UUUUUUUUUUUUUUUUUUUUGUAGAGACAGGGUUUCGCCAUGUUGCCUAGGCUGGUCUCCAACCUGGUCUCCUGGGCUCAAGCGAUCCGCCCGCCUCGGCCUCCCACAGUGCUGGGAUUCCAGGCGUGAGCUACCGCGCCCGGCCUAUUUACUUUUCUUACUAAGCUGGGGAUCACCGUCGCCCUCGGCUUGGCAGGAAGGCGGGGGUGCAAGAAGAAAAGAGGUACAGAACACCCAGAGGUGCCCUCGAUUCCGUCUUGCACUUGCCCUUCUCCCACCGUCCAGCAAUAAAGCGAGAGAAACAAGUGCAGGAAACUGGCCGGCAGUCAUGGGAGAAGCCAAAAAGACAGCCUUGGGGAGCCGGCGGGAUCCAGAGCGGGGCUCCUCUCCGCACUUUGUAGCUGCGUUGCUCCGCUCCAUGCCCUGCCUCAGCCACUCCUCCUGGUUACCAGGCAAAAGGAAACACCUUGAGCUGGCCAGGAGCUACCAGCGUCUGUCUACACCUGGGUGAGCCGUACUGGUCGUAGUGGCCCCACCCUACAAGGAUGCCCUUCCUACAGUAUUACUGAUGGCUGUCUAAUCCGGUUAGCUCCCAGUCACUACACCCCAGCCUCCCAGCGCCUGCAGGUGGAUUGGGUUAUCCUCACAUUUGAGUGAAACUCCUGCACACCAGACACUGAAUCGAGUUGUCUGGGAGCAUCUAACUGCAAG